GGGGAAAGGCCUGUGAAUAAAAAAAUGAAGGUUAAAAUCAAGUGCUACAGAGUUAGAUUGCUCAAAAGCAAGCAAAGACGAGGAAGAGGAAAUUACUGCAAGUGUACCAGAUCGUGCAAGUAAUAUAAUCGGUAAUGCCCGAUAUCGUUCUUCCCAAGAGACUCGAAAGAAUUGUUCAUGUGAAUCAAAAUCGUAAGACUUGUAAAGAAAGAAUCAAUUGUUGUAGAUACAAAGACAGAAAAUAAACAUGCAAU
rnacentral:lncRNA from 1 species